rnacentral:rRNA from 1 species
UACGUAGGGUGCGAGCGUUAAUCGGAUUUACUGGGCGUAAAGCGUGCGCAGGCGGCCCGUUAAGACAGGUGUGAAAUCCCUGGGCUCAACCUGGGAAUGGCAUUUUGAACUGGCAGGCUCGAGUACGGUAGAGGGGGGUGGAAUUCCUGGUGUAGCAGUGAAAUGCGUAGAGAUCAGGAGGAACACCGAUGGCGAAGGCAGCCCCCUGGGCCUGUACUGACGCUCAUGCACGAAAGCGUGGGGAGCAAACAGG